rfam:Bombyx mori DNA, contig: Bm_scaf184_contig41215, strain: p50T/Dazao, build 2, whole genome shotgun sequence.
UCCAGCGGAUUAAUAUCGGGACUAGACGACGGCCAGUCUUCAGCUCUGAUGAAGUCCGAAACG